rnacentral:tRNA from 1 species
GCCCUGGUGACAUAGUGGUUAAGUGCUUGCCUGUUAACUGCAAGAUAGGUGGUUCAAAUCCACCAGCGGCU